rnacentral:rRNA from 1 species
AGUGAACGCUGGCGGUAGGCCUAACACAUGCAAGUCGAACGGCAGCACAGUAAGAGCUUGCUCUUACGGGUGGCGAGUGGCGGACGGGUGAGGAAUACAUCGGAAUCUACUUUUUCGUGGGGGAUAACGUAGGGAAACUUACGCUAAUACCGCAUACGACCUACGGGUGAAAACAGGGGAUCUUCGGACCUUGCGCGAUUGAAUGAGCCGAUGUCGGAUUAGCUAGUUGGCGGGGUAAAGGCCCACCAAGGCGACGAUCCGUAGCUGGUCUGAGAGGAUGAUCAGCCACACUGGAACUGAGACACGGUCCAGACUCCUACGGGAGGCAGCAGUGGGGAAUAUUGGACAAUGGGCGCAAGCCUGAUCCAGCCAUACCGCGUGGGUGAAGAAGGCCUUCGGGUUGUAAAGCCCUUUUGUUGGGAAAGAAAAGCAGCAGGUUAAUACCCCGCUGUUCUGACGGUACCCAAAGAAUAAGCGCCGGCUAACUUCGUG